rnacentral:rRNA from 1 species
UCCGGAGGAUCCGAGCGUUAUCCGGAUUUAUUGGGUUUAAAGGGUGCGUAGGCGGCCUAUUAAGUCAGGGGUGAAAUACGGUGGCUCAACCAUCGCAGUGCCUUUGAUACUGAUGGGCUUGAAUCCAUUUGAAGUGGGCGGAAUAAGACAAGUAGCGGUGAAAUGCAUAGAUAUGUCUUAGAACUCCGAUUGCGAAGGCAGCUCACUAAGCUGGUAUUGACGCUGAUGCACGAAAGCGUGGGGAUCGAACAGG